rnacentral:rRNA from 1 species
CCUACGGGAUGCAGCAGUGGGGAAUAUUGCACAAUGGGCGCAAGCCUGAUGCAGCCAUGCCGCGUGUGUGAAGAAGGCCUUCGGGUUGUAAAGCACUUUCAGCGGGGAGGAAGGCGUUAAGGUUAAUAACCUUGGCGAUUGACGUCACCCGCAGAAGAAGCACCGGCUAACUCCGUGCCAGCAGCCGCGGUAAUACGGAGGGUGCAAGCGUUAAUCGGAAUUACUGGGCGUAAAGCGCACGCUGGCGGUCUGUCAAGUCGGAUGUGAAAUCCCCGGGCUCAACCUGGGAACUGCAUUCGAAACUGGCAGGCUAGAGUCUUGUAGAGGGGGGUAGAAUUCCAGGUGUAGCGGUGAAAUGCGUAGAGAUCAGGAGGAAUACCGGUGGCGAAGGCGGCCCCCUGGACAAAGACUGACGCUCAGGUGCGAAAGCGUGGGGAGCAAACAGGAUUAGAUACCCGAGUAGUC